CGGGGAAAGCUUUCGGGUGAGUACUAGUGGCGCACGGGUGAGUAACGCGUGGAUAAUCUGCCUUAGAGUGGGGGAUAACUAGUCGAAAGAUUAGCUAAUACCGCAUAAGACCACAAGAACUGCGGUUCAAGAGGUCAAAGGUUUUUCGCUCUAAGAUGAGUCCGCGUAAGAUUAGCUAGUUGGUGAGGUAAUGGCUCACCAAGGCAACGAUCUUUAACUGGUCUGAGAGGAUGAUCAGUCACACUGGAACUGAGACACGGUCCAGACUCCUACGGGAGGCAGCAGUAGGGAAUAUUGCACAAUGGAGGAAACUCUGAUGCAGCGACGCCGCGUGAGUGAUGAAGGCCUUCGGGUCGUAAAGCUCUGUCGCAGGGGAAUAACACAAUGAAUGUACCCUGUAAGAAAGGAUCGGCUAACUUCGUGCCAGCAGCCGCGGUAAGACGAGGGAUCCUAGCGUUGUUCGGAAUCAUUGGGCGUAAAGCGGGUGCAGGUGGCUAUGUAAGUCAGGUGUGAAAGCCUGGGGCUCAACCCCAGAAGUGCAUCUGAUAC
rnacentral:rRNA from 1 species